rnacentral:rRNA from 1 species
AUUGAACGCUGGCGGCAGGCCUAACACAUGCAAGUCGAACGAGUGGCGGACGGGUGGGUAAUGGCUGGGAACCUGCCUGAUGUAGGGGGAUAACUACUGGAAACGGUAGCUACUACCGCCUACCAUCGGAUGUGCCCAGAUGGGAUUAGCUAGUAGGUGGGGUAAAGGCGAACCAAGGCGACGAUCCCUAGCUGGUCUGAGAGGAUGACCAGCCACACGGGAACUGAGACACGGUCCAGACUCCUACGGGAGGCAGCAGUGGGGAAUAUUGCACAAUGGGCGCAAGCCUGAUGCAGCCAUGCCGCGUGUAUGAAGAAGGUCUUCGGGUUGUAAAGCACUUUCAGCGGGGAGGCGUUACCUGCAGAAGAAGCAACGGCUAACUCCGUGCCAGCCGCCGCGGUAAUAC